GCCAGAGUGGUGAAAUUGGUAGACGCAGAGGACUCAAAAUCCUCCGUUCGCAAGGACGUGUCGGUUCGAUUCCGACCUCUGGCA
rnacentral:tRNA from 1 species